rnacentral:rRNA from 1 species
GACGUAGGGGCAAGCGUUGUCCGGAAUUAUUGGGCGUAAAGAGCUCGUAGGCGGUCUGUCGCGUCGGCUGUGAAAACCCGAGGCUCAACCUCGGGCCUGCAGUCGAUACGGGCAAACUAGAGUACUGCAGGGGAGACUGGAAUUCCUGGUGUAGCGGUGAAAUGCGCAGAUAUCAGGAGGAACACCGGUGGCGAAGGCGGUUUUCUAUCUUAUUCCUGACGCUGAGGCGCGAAAGCGUGGGUAGCAAACAGGA